rnacentral:piRNA from 1 species
UGGAAAGUGUGUGAUAACUGUGCCAGC